UACGUAGGGUGCGAGCGUUGUCCGGAAUUAUUGGGCGUAAAGAGCUCGUAGGCGGUUUGUCGCGUCGGCUGUGAAAUCCCGAGGCUCAACCUCGGGUCUGCAGUCGAUACGGGCGGACUGGAGUUCGGCAGGGGAGACUGGAAUUCCUGGUGUAGCGGUGAAAUGCGCAGAUAUCAGGAGGAACACCGGUGGCGAAGGCGGGUCUCUGGGCCGAUACUGACGCUGAGGAGCGAAAGCGUGGGGAGCGAACAGG
rnacentral:rRNA from 1 species